UUCAGUUCUAUUCUGCAAGCUCAGAGAUGCAAAAAGCCUGCGGCGCUCUGGAGGCGCCUGGUCCUGGGGACCUCUUUCCUCCACUCUGUUCUCAGCAUAGGAAGAUGGGGCUGGGGAAUUCUUUUUGGUUUUCUGGUUUUGUUUUGCUCUGGUUUUGGUCGGGGUUUUGUAUUUUUCUAUUCUUCCUUGGUUUUAUUUUUUCCUUUUUUUCCUUUUUUUUUUUCUUUUGCUUUCCUGUCAUUCUCCCAGCCAAAAGCCGCCUUCGACCCUUUUGAUUUGAUGUAGCAAAGAGUGUGUGUCCAGAUUAUCUGAAAUAGACACUGAAGAAGCUACAUAGAUGGUCAAGCAGGGCCCGGAAGAAGACCAUUCAGGAAAAAGUGGUCCAGGACUCGGUGGAUGGGCUGCCGGCAGACCGGUGUGGCUCAGACCUGGUGACUUUUUGGAGAGGUCGUAGAAUGAGGACAGCAGACACACGAGGACCUUGACUUCGGCGCACAGACAGUGCAAAAAGGAGACAAAGACGGACAGAAUCAAAAAAGAGCGUAUUUCCCCCUCCUACGUAUUUGUUUUUCCUGAUAGUCUCACAAAGAUGAGAGUCUGGUCCGGUCCAGCGGGUUAUCUUGUGGCACUGGCUGUCUCCAGUGGCUGUGCCUGCGCUUUGAGGCCACUCUGCUGUUCACCGUGGCCCAAACCAGAUUCGGGCUGAAAGGUCGCUGAGUCAGACUUUUAGGGGCUCCGAGAAGCAGCAAGCCCUCUGCCUUCACUGUUCCUUUUUCUUUUAUUUUUAGCUCCCCACCCCCACCCCUGCUCCCGCUCGUGGGCUCUUCUCCUCCUGGCCCAGGGCGUGCGAAAAGGUGGAUGAACCUGGAGGCGGGAGGGGCCGGGCCAAGGGAGACGGGCAGGAAGCGGGUGAGUGCGAACUGAUAACCUCACAUCAGUUGAGGCUGCUGCAUAGCUUCUUGGUGCGCUGAGGGAUACCAUGAUGUAUAGCUGGGGACGUAGGAGCCAGCGCUGCUGCCGGAGCCCUUCCCAGAUGAGGAGUUCGGAUUCCAGCCGGGUGGUACCGGUGGGGAGCCGGCAGACAAGGCUCUGCCGUUCGCCAGCGCGCUGCCCUCCAGAGCUGCCCCGCCUUGCUUCAUCAGCUUCUUGAACUUGGAGCGUUUGUUCUGGAACCAUAUCUUGACCUGCAGGAUCGGGCGACAACGUGACUGGACUAUGACCAUUGAGCCUACCCAGGUCCAAGGAGAAAAGGGACGGGUGGACAACAAUACCCGCCCUCCUUGCUUUGGGAAAGCUGACAGCUCCAGGACAGAGGGGCAGAGACCACCGCCUCCCCACACCCCAUGAGGGCCAAAGGCCAGAAAAUUGAGCCCCAGGUCCAGCCGCUGUUGGCAACUUUUAGAGCAGCUAUCAGAGCCGGGAAUAAGAGAACAGGGGAGAGCCAGGCCUUGGCUUGCAAAUGAGACGAUGCCACCUGGGCGACGUUUAUGGAAGACCUCAUGCAGCACAAUGCAAUAACAAUAAAGAAAAUUUAAAACCUAGAUAGGAACGGGGUGGGGGGCGGGGGCAUUUGUUAAAAUUAGAUCUCCUUUCCUCGUAGGACUAUUGGAAGAGGCUACAGCGUCUUUGUUAAACUCUUUAGACUCAAACCAAUUCUCCCCCCCACCCCCAACGGUGUAUUUGCUUUCCCCAGCUCCAACCUAAAUCUAGAGACAGACUGGCCCUCGUUCGAAUGCCUAGGAACUGCCCAGGGUCUUAGAGAAGUGCAGGAAGAAAAAAGAAAAAUCUCACUUUUUUUUUCCCCCUUCUUCUUAAGGAUCUGGAACUUGGGAAGUGAAGGGCCAGAGGGAAGGAUCUGCCUCUGCCACCUCGCAAGAAGAAGGAGGUGGGGGAAGCAGGCUUAGGCCCAGGACCUGAGUGAUUAGUGGCACACUUUAAAGGCUAAGGAAGAUUAAAUCCCCCUUCUAUUGUUCCAGUUGUUCAGGCACGUGUGACCUCAGAACCUCCAAACAAAACGUCUGGGGAAAUCCUUCCAGUUCCCUGCCUGGUCAGAAGACCAGGUAGCCUGCAGGUCAGAGAGUAGGGUCCGAGCUAGGGCAAACAGUUUGAGGGAGGAAGAGGAGACGCUGAAAGUCAGAGGUGGAUACACACACACACACACACACACACACACACACACGGGUUGGGGGGCGGACUGUGACACCUAGAACCAGAGGCCCAGCGAACAAAAAAUGUGAAGCCUGGGGCUGGAGCCCAGCUCCCGAGGCUUGUUUGGCAGAGCGGCCAGGUACCUGCGUCUGUGUGAGUCCCAAGGAGGCCGCCAGCUCCGCCCUCUCAGGCAGAGCUAAGUACUGAGUUUGUUGGAACCUCCGGUUCAAAGCCUGCAACUGCAAACUGGAAUAAAUUGUCCUGGGUUUACGGAUCUUUUUCCCUUUGCCGUUAAAGCGCACCUCGCCGCCUUCCACCACCGUACUCUUCUCGGAGUCCGCCCCUGGAGGGACAACAGAAGCAGAGACCCUUGUUAAUGCUGCACUGCCUUUAGUGAGGAGGGACGAGAAUGAAUGUCUAUGGAUGGGUUGGCAGAAGUAGGGUCCGGAAAAGAACGUUCAAGAAACCCUGAAAGACUGCGAAGGUCCCUCAAGGUCCGAGCGCACGUCCCUGGCUGCUGCAGACAGAAUUGGGUCGUUCCCAAGAGCGCAGCUAUUGCCUUUGCAGAGAAAGUUUGCUAUUUUUUGCAGGCGGUAGUUGAGGUUUAAUUACCCUUAAUUGCAUACAUUGUUUAUAGCGCUACGCAAUAAAUAAUUACCGAGACUAAUA
rnacentral:lncRNA from 1 species